CUUUCUCUUCCACCUGGGAGGAAGUGGAUCUCAGCCGGCCUCUUCCAGAUCCUCCAAUCCUCCGCCCUCCCCAUCCAUGUCCGCUGCCACUGCACCAAGAAAAAGGCCGGCAGCCACCGCAACCUCGCCGUCCAUGGCCAUCUUCCUCUCUGCAUCCCGCAUCUGCCGCGUUAGCUGCCGCUGCAACCUCUUUAUCCACGACCAUCUUCCCGUUUGCAUCCCGCAACGGCCGUCUGCCUCCAUGACGUUAGCCUCGUCUUGCAGCCGAGGAUGCCCCUGAAGGCAGACCUAGUGCUCGCGGCGCCGGUGCCGUUGCUGCGGAUGGUGCCCAUCUUGCUGCACGGAGCGACAAGGUCCCUCGUGGGCAUGCACAAGAUGGAUGGGUUGGGCGUGAUGACUAUGGGCGCGCUCAAGGUCCCGCUUCAGCCUCCACCUGACGACGCGCCUGGUGGAGUUCCGCCGCAUCCGACCGGCGGGAUCCUUGGCAGGCUGUGAGCCGUAGUCCCACCAGGCCACCAGGUAAUACAGACUCUAUGGAGUCUUCAUUGGUGGAGACAGAGUGCCUUCCAGUAGCAUGGUUCGAGGCAAGAUGGUUGCAAAAAUGUGGUCUCUCUCCGAUGACUUUGGCGAGUACGGCCGAAUCGGUGGCCAUAAAGACACUGGAAUUAACCAAAGUUAACAUAUGGCGAGCGCCCCGGCACCCGAGGAGCUGUAGAGUAGCUUAGUUUUCUCCAUGAGAUGUUUGUAAUUUUCAGUUUUUAGGGAUUUUUUGCUCCUGUAGAUGUGUAUUUUCCGGUUUGUUUAUGUAACCUUUGUUUAAUUUAAUGAAAUGAGCAUAUAUUUUUUCUGACAA